GCCGGGGUAGCUCAGCCUGGUUAGAGCGCCCGGCUGUUACCCCGGCCCGACCGAAGUCCCGGGUUCGAAUCCCGGCCCCGGCGCCA
rnacentral:tRNA from 1 species